rnacentral:rRNA from 1 species
UGCAGUCGAGCGGAACGAUCCUAGCUUGCUAGGAGGCGUCGAGCGGCGGACGGGUGAGUAAUGCAUAGGAAUCUGCCCGAUAGUGGGGGAUAACCUGAGGAAACUCAGGCUAAUACCGCAUACGUCCUACGGGAGAAAGCAGGGGCUCUUCGGACCUUGCGCUAUCGGAUGAGCUUAUGUCGGAUUAGCUGGUUGGUGAGGUAACGGCUCACCAAGGCGACGAUCCGUAGCUGGUCUGAGAGGAUGAUCAGCCACAUCGGGACUGAGACACGGCCCGAACUCCUACGGGAGGCAGCAGUGGGGAAUAUUGGACAAUGGGGGCAACCCUGAUCCAGCCAUGCCGCGUGUGUGAAGAAGGCCCUCGGGUUGUAAAGCACUUUCAGUGAGGAAGAAGGCUUGUCGGUUAAUACCCGGCAAGGGAGACAUCACUCACAGAAGAAGCACCGGCUAACUCCGUGCCAGCAGCCGCGGUAAUACGGAGGGUGCGAGCGUUAAUCGGAAUUACUGGGCGUAAAGCGUGCGUAGGCGGCUUGAUAAGCCGGUUGUGAAAGCCCCGGGCUCAACCUGGGAACGGCAUCCGGAACUGUCAGGCUAGAGUGCAGGAGAGGAAGGUAGAAUUCCCGGUGUAGCGGUGAAAUGCGUAGAGAUCGGGAGGAAUACCAGUGGCGAAGGCGGCCUUCUGGACUGACACUGACGCUGAGGUACGAAAGCGUGGGUAGCAAACAGGAUUAGAUACCCUGGUAGUCCACGCCGUAAACGAUGUCGACUAGCCGUUGGGGUCCUCGAGACCUUUGUGGCGCAGUUAACGCACUAAGUCGACCGCCUGGGGAGUACGCCGCAAGGUUAAAACUCAAUGAAUUGACGGGGCCGCACAGCGGUGGAGCAUGGUGGUUUAAUUCGAUGCACGCGAGACCUUACUACCCUUGACAUCG